UUGCAAAUAGACCUUCUCUUCCCGGUUCUUCCUGGAGUCGGGAAAAGCUGGGUGGAGAGGGUGAAUAAAUAAAUAA
rnacentral:pre_miRNA from 1 species